GGCAGGGCUGGGUGGCCGCUCUGAGCCACAGCCACGCUCGGAGUCACAGCCCUCGCCCCUGCCCCGGCACCGCGCCGCUCACUGCUCACGCCAAGGUCGCGGGUUCGAUCCCCGGAUGGGCCAUGAGUCCGAGUCGAGCUCGGUGAUCCUUGCGGGUCCCUCCCAGCCUGGAUUAUCCCGGGGUUGUGUGCCUGCAGAGCUGUGUGUGCUGGCGAGGCCCGGUGCAGGAUGCUGUGCUCAGGGCAGCGGUGUCCCCCAGCAGGGACACAGCCAUGCCGGGCUGCAGUGACACAAACUCCUCUGGGCACCGGGAGCCGACACGGAUUUCUGUGUCAUUCCCCCGUCAGCGUCCCACUGCACGUGCAUUUGUUCAUCGGUAUUAAGAUAUCGAUGCUGAGUAAACCCUGACGCUGAUCACACAGAAAUUCACCCAGAACUGCGGGGUUCGGACUCGUGGGGAGGGUGAGAAGGGGGACAGGACAUUUCCUCACAUCUCUCCCAGUCCCUCCUGCCUGACAGGGAAGGGGUUUGGUGACCCAGGAAUUGCAUCACUGGUACGUGCAGAUUUAUUUUUUUUCUGUUUUCCCCCUGAAAUGUGCUUGUUUUAUUGUUUUCCUCCGAUGGAAUUUGCCAGCGUGUCCCAAAUUAUGUGGUUCUGAGAUGCAAAAGCAACAUACCUGUGUGGGGGAGAGAAUGAGUGGUUUGCACUGAGCAAGCUGGCUCUUCCUUCCCUCCUCCCUUCUCCCCACAUCCCCAUGUGCUAUGGAGCCAGCUGCUCCCGGAAUAGUUUGGGAAUGAAAUGUCACCAUUUGAAACUGGUGAGUCACACUUUUGGGAGGAGGGGAGGAGAGAAUCUGAAAUCUUGCCGUGUGGCAGAGCGUCUCCUGGAGGAUCUCAAAAUCUUCUGCAAACUUGAAUUUUCUUCCCCAACAUGCCCGGUGCAGCUGGAUGCUGGUGCCUCCUCCAGCAGCCCUGGGUUUGAUUUUGCACUGCGGGGCUCCACAGAGUCCAACCAGCAACGCUGCAGGAGCUGAAAGUUGCAGCAGCAAUGCAGGAGUGAGCCAAGGAGCCAGGUCAGAAAAGGGAACCCCUCUGGGUACCUGCUGCACCCUCAGGUGUGCACUUGGAGCUACUCCAAACCAGUAACUCCUAAGAGAUGGGAAUGUCAGUGGAUCAUCAGUUCUGAGGCACAAUGACAGCAUUUUAGUGCUUGGUGUUGUCUCACCUCUGUUUGUUCUAGCAAAGGUGUCUGCCUGCUAGGUUUGGCUCCCAGAUUCCUGAUGGGGAUUCCCUUUAGCCUGCAGCUUCCUGCAGAUAACUCCCAUGACAGUGCUGGGAAUGAUCAGUGUAAAUACUCCCUAUGGAAAAGUAGCUGGUUUCUCAGAGUGAGGUUAUUGUCCUUUCAAAUAGAGUAACAAAAGACAAAUUUACUGAGUAUACAGCUCACUGAAGUACUGCGUCUCUCGGAGAUAUGUGAUGAUUUCUUUAAAACUUGAUGGAUUUUUGCCCAAAUCACAGGAUUUUGUCUCAUCAGCUACAGUGGGGUUUCCCAGAGGGCCUGAGACAACACAUCCUCAGCCUCUUGGACCUUGGCUGAACUGAUACAUAAUGUGUGGAAGUCUUCCCAACAGGAACAAGCAACUCUGGAAGGCCAAGAUUACCACUGAUCUGGUUUUGGGGGGAAAAAAAAGAAAAAGACAACUGAAAUGACGUUGGACAUUCAUUAGCAAAGCAUUGUCAGAACACAAUAGAAGAACAGACAAAAGCCAGUCCUGAUUCUGUGGUAUUUCCUAAAGGGCUCCCUCUGGCACACGACUAUUCCCUGCCAAUCCUUCUGUAUUGUUUUUGAUAAUGAAUAGAAGCUGAACAGAUGAUUGUUGUAUUGUCCACUAAGUGAUUCAUUUACAUUAAAUAGUGCUCCAAAAGUAGGCUUUGGGUAGACUUUUUUAGUCACUUCAGUUAUUUAUUUAUACAGUUUAAUUACUGUCUU